rnacentral:rRNA from 1 species
GGCUCAGGAUGAACGCUAGCUACAGGCUUAACACAUGCAAGUCGAGGGGCAGCACAGUGUAGCAAUACAGUGGGUGGCGGCCGGCGCACGGGUGCGUAACGCGUAUCCAACCUUCCCGUUACUCUUGGAUAGCCUUCCGAAAGGGAGAUUAAUACAAGAUGGUAUUCAAAUUCCGCAUGUUAUUUGAAUUAAAGAUUUAUCGGUAACGGAUGGGGAUGCGUGACAUUAGGUAGAUGGCGGGGUAACGGCCCACCAUGCCUACGAUGUCUAGGGGUUCUGAGAGGAAGGUCCCCCACACUGGUACUGAGACACGGACCAGACUCCUACGGGAGGCAGCAGUGAGGAAUAUUGGUCAAUGGUCGGAAGACUGAACCAGCCAUGCCGCGUGAAGGAAGAAUGUCCUAUGGAUUGUAAACUUCUUUUGUAAGGGAGCAAUAAGUUCCAUGCGUGGGAUGAUGAGAGUACCUUACGAAUAAGCAUCGGCUAACUCCGUG